rnacentral:rRNA from 1 species
UACGUAGGGGGCGAGCGUUGUCCGGAGUUACUGGGCGUAAAGGGCGCGCAGGCGGUCUGGUAAGUUUGGAGUGACAGUGCUCGGCUUAACUGAGCAAGGCCUUCGAAAACUAUCAGACUUGAGCACUCAAGAGGGACAUAGAAUUCCGGGUGGAGUGGUGAAAUGCGUAGAUAUCCGGAGGAAUACCAAAGGCGAAGGCAGUGUCCUGGGGAGUGUCUGACGCUCAGGCGCGAAAGCUAGGGGAGCGAACGAGG